rnacentral:rRNA from 1 species
UGGGGAAUAUUGCACAAUGGAGGGAACUCUGAUGCAGCGACGCCGCGUGAACGAAGAAGGCUUUCGAGUCGUAAAGUUCUUUUAUAUGGGAAGAUAAUGACGGUACCAUAAGAAAAAGCCCCGGCUAACUACGUGCCAGCAGCCGCGGUAAUACGUAGGGGGCUAGCGUUGUCCGGAAUCACUGGGCGUAAAGCGAGCGCAGGCGGUCAAUUAAGUCUGAUGUGAAAGCCCCCGGCUCAACCGGGGAGGGUCAUUGGAAACUGGUUGACUUGAGUGCAGAAGAGGAGAGUGGAAUUCCAUGUGUAGCGGUGAAAUGCGUAGAUAUAUGGAGGAACACCAGUGGCGAAGGCGACUUUCUGGUCUGUAACUGACGCUGAGGUACGAAAGCGUGGGUAGCAAACAGG